UGGGCGCCUCUGGCGCGCUCUGAUGACGCUCCAAGGGAAGAGGAAGUGGGGAUCGGCGAGCGGGUGGGUGCGCCUCGGGCCGCGGGACUCGCAGCCGCCGCCGCUGCUGCCGCCUCUACGGCCGCGUCAGAACUGAAGAGAGGAAGGGGAGGAGCUGAGACGAGCCUAAGCUGCCGCCCGAUUUUACCCCUGACCCGAGGGCGGCCCGGAGAGCUUGCUCUGUAGCAGUUUCCUGCGGGGCAGGUGGGACUGCUCCUUUGGGAGGAAGGAGGAGGCCUAGGCCGCGCCUUCAGGCAACUGCGCGCACCACCCAAAGAAUCAGUGAUAUUUUAAAACUGGAGGAAGGUGAGACCCAGAGAAAUUGACUUACCCAGAGUCAGGAGGGCAAGUAAAUAGGAAGCCUGGACUCCACCCCAAGUCUUCAAAUACAGUACGCUUGCCAUUAUAUCACACUGACUCUGUCUUCUGGAAAAAUAAGGUAAAUUAAUUCCCAAGAUCUAUAGAAUAUUGUUCAUUUCCACAUGGCAGCCCUCUUAUUCUACAAUUGAAUAAAGCCUAUUUUAAGCCUAA